AAGGAGAGUGUGGGCUUCCUAUGACUGCAACAAAAGGAGACCAAAUGGGGUAGAACAGUCACAUUAUGACAAACCUUCACCUCAUCACUGCCCAUAGUUUUCUUUUGGAACUUGUUCUCCCUUAAUCAGAUCUACCUUCAAGAAAUUGGGACUACAUUUAGAAAUUAUUCUCUGACAUGGAUCAUAUGGAAUAUCUGACUGGUCUGCAAGUUACUCACCAUGGGUCCAGGAGAAAUCUUGGAAGCUCAGAGGAUUAUAGAUUUCAGUCACUUCUGCUGCUCAUGGCCCAAGCACGUCCUAAGAGCAAGGCCAUCCAGAGUCCAGUUGACCUGCCAUUAUCCCAGGAACUUCCAUGUGUGCUCAACCUUCCUAAUUGGAGGUUCCCUGCCUGUGAUAUUGAAGUGUUAAAGAUGGAAGAAAGGAAGACAAUGGAUGGACAUUGUGAAGUAGGAUAUGAAGCUUUCUUGACACCUUGAAACUCCUCACAAACGAUCCAAAAUAACUCCAUAAAAUCAAUACUAAAAGUGACAAAAACAGAUAAGAGUGUGGAGUGAAGCCGAACAGCUAAGGAAAAAUAGGGAGAAAGGUUUCUGACUUCCCUGGCCUCAGACCCACUGUCAUAAGCCCUGGGGACAGGAAUAGAACAAACAGGGAAUUCACAAGGUAGCCUUGGAGGGGCAAGAUUAACAACCU
rnacentral:lncRNA from 1 species